CUCUGCCAGCCAGCAGUGCACAUCGCAGUGCCAUGCAUCAUUCCUUCAGUGCCCAAGGAGUUACCAAACUACAAUCGAUCUUAAAGGACUUUUUGGCAUUCAUUUAAUUCAGCUCCUCAGUAAGAACAGACGGAGUAGGAAAAUGCAGUUUUCUGGAGAACUCUUUUAUUGAAUAAUUCCUACCAUCCACUCAUCCUAAGAAGAUGUCCAGAGAAGGAAAUGCCUGGCAAAUGGGAAAACUUUUAAAUGACUUUGCUGUUACUGCACAAAUAGUCUCCAAGUAAAGCAGGAGUUUUGUCAGUGUGCCGACUGCUAGAUCUAACUGGAAUCAAAGCACUGACUACUAGUGUUUAGUAGCUUAGUUCAUGGAAUAAAAGGAUUUGGUAAAAUCUGAACAUUUGCAGGCAUUUCUUACUACGGUGCUAAGCUUUUUUCUUUAUUUUAGAUCUCUACACAUUGCUUUCCCUUCAUC
ensembl:lncRNA